GAUGAACGCUGGCGGCGUGCCUAAUACAUGCAAGUCGAGCGAACAGACGAGGAGCUUGCUCCUCUGACGUUAGCGGCGGACGGGUGAGUAACACGUGGAUAACCUACCUAUAAGACUGGGAUAACUUCGGGAAACCGGCGCUAAUACCGGAUAAUAUAUUGAACCGCAUGGUUCAAUAGUGAAAGACGGUUUUGCUGUCACUUCUAGAUGGAUCCGCGCCGCAUUAGCUAGUUGGUAAGGUAACGGCUUACCAAGGCAACGAUGCGUAGCCGACCUGAGAGGGGGAUCGGCCACACUGGAACGGAGACACGGUCAAGACUACUACGAGAGGCAGCAGUAGGGAAUGUUACGCAAUGGGCGAAAGCAUGACGGAGCAACGCCGCGUGAGUGAUGAAGGUCUUCGGAUCGUAAAACUCUGUUAUUAGGGAAGAACAAAUGUGUAAGUAACUAUGCACGUAUUGACGGUACCUAAUCAGAAAGCCACGGCUAACUACGUG
rnacentral:rRNA from 1 species